rnacentral:lncRNA from 1 species
AGACAUGUGACUGUGGCAUCACAGGCCCCCGGGAUUUAGAAUUCUUCUGAAAGGCAUCCUGUGCACUCCCGAGCACCAGCUUGAACAGAUGAAAAGGCUGAGCUGGAGGGGCUGGGACACAGUCCACCUUGACGACAGCUGCUCCUGGCUGUGCGGGGGGCCCCAGGAAAGGCCGUUCCCCCACUAGGACCGCCAGGCCCUACAGAGGCUCAAACUCCUUUGCUGUUUGGAAUCUUCCCUCCCCAGCCCCCAAGCCUCAUCAGAGGCUGCCUUUUCUGUUCACUGACCACAGCUGCUUUGACUCCAUUAGCCUCGAGCUCCUGGAAGAAAAGAAAGAACCUUGUUUUCCCUGGGCUCAAUGCCAAGAGACCAUGGGCAGUUGCUCAAGAUUCACUUGUGAAACUCCGGAUCUCAGGAGGAGGGAAGCUUGGGACAAAUACCGAGCCUCCCACCCCCACUCCAACUCUGUUACUGAGCACUUUACGGAAGGAGCAGGAGCCUGGGGUCUUGCUAUUGUGCUCCAGCCUGGCCUUGAACUCCUGGUCUCAAGGGAUGCUUCCACCCCAGCUUGCUGAGUAUCUGGGACUGCAGGCACGUGUCACUGUGCCCAGCUGUUUUUUUUUUUCUUCUUUGGUAGAAAAAGUGCCAUUAGCUGUAAUCCUACAUUAAAGAGAAUACUUUGACAAUAGAUUCGUCUCUUCC